GCUACUGCAUCUGAAUGAUUUGCAAGCAAAUGAUCCUACUCUCUGAAGCUUAUGAUUUCAUUUUAUUUUAUGUUUAUUUUCCCUCUCUGAAUGAAAAGUACCACAUUAGGAAGUCAGUGUUUGUGUGUGUGAUUUUUGUUUUACUUGGUUUUGUUUUUAUUCUCAAAUGAAAGUACCCUGCCAGUAAUCACUGGUGUUUUGGGAAGACAACCAGUAGCAGUGCUGGCUCCCUAUCUUGGAGUGGAUGGGCUUUAUGUCCAGGCAGCCAUCUGUGGGAGUGGUAGCCUGGAGCCAGGUCUUGGAGCUACCUGUGCAUGAAAAGGGGUGGCUGGCAAGAUGGCUGAAUAGGAACAGCUCUGGUCUGCAGCUCCCAGAGAGAUCAACGCAGAAGGUGGGUGAUUUCUGCAUUUCCAACUGAGGAGGGGAUUUGACAAGAUGAGGGCUCAGCAGACUAAAGGGUCAAAGUCAGCCUGGUGCCUGUUUUAGUAUCCCUGCAAGGUGGGCAUAUUCAGCCUUGAGCAGUGGAAGAUACCAAGUGAUACAGUUUGAAUGACCCAGAAAGGCACUCUCCAUUUUGUAUCCCCCCUUAGCCCUCCAUUACUCCUCUUGAUCAAGAAGUUGGCAUUUGGAGUUAUGGAAUUGUCUCCAGGAUCCCCUAUCAGAACGAGAUUCUCUUGCUGGGGAAAGUAAAUGCCCUGCCAGUGGUGUUUCUGGAGGCAUUGCGCACUGAAUCUCCAUCUGCUCCCACACAUCUCAGCCCUGGCCCCUGAGCAGGGCCAUGUGACCAGUUCUAGUCAAUUAAAACUCCAACUACAAAUCUCCAGUUCUUUCUCCCCUUGCCUUUGCCAGGUCUGCAGGCACUUGCUGGAGGAAAGUGUUGUAAGAUGAUGGAGCCCCAGGCCAUCUGCAUACUUUGAGUGAUUCCCUCCACCCCUCAUCCAGUACAGAUACAGAAUAUUGUUGGAAACACAUGCACCAUGAGCAAGAUAUAAAACCUCCAGAUUUGAAUAUUAUUUGCUACAAAUGCCUAGUCUAUCUUGACAAAUACAGUGUGCAUAAACAUUGCUUGGAGAGUUCGUUCAAAUCCAUUUCUCAGUUCCCACAUUAGCUAAAUCAGAAUUUCAGGUGCAAGGGAAAAGUCAUCAUCACAUUUAAAAAAAAAAUCAUUCAGUAAAUUUGAUACACACCAGUGAUUAAAAACCACUGUGGAUAGCCAUUUGCAUUCCUUGAUGAUAUUGACAGCAAUUACCAGGGUCUUUGAAAUCUUUUCACUCAUAGCACUCAGAAAAUGAUAUUAGUUAUAUGACUUACUGGGCCCAAUCGACCAAGCUGUGUGUGGCUAGAAGCUGAAUGGGAUGGGGAUAUAGGAAAGAAUGGCUUUCAUAUUCUGGGCCCUGCCUGUCCCUAAAGCCGAGAGAUGACCAUUUCAGAUCACCCUUCAUGUUUGUAAUGCUGUGCAGAGGCAUGUGGGUUGGGAAGCUCUGAUGUCAGCCUGGUGGUCUAGCUAGAGCAGGAUGCAGAGGACAUGGGACAUGGGAAAACGCAACAAGUAUCACCCAGGGAGGGCUCUGGGAGACAGCAGUCUGGAGGCCAAAGUGGUGGAUUCUGCCACGUGAGAGAACUGCAUCAAGUCCUAGAGAGUUGGAUGAGGAGCUGGAUGAGAACAAAGUAGUCGGGGCAAAGUCUAGGGUUUAAUAAGAACUAUUCCAAAGGUUUUGUGAAGUUUAUAAUCCUGCUUAAUUCUGGCCCCAGCUAAGGCUCAUUCUAAAUGAGAAUUCAAUGCCAGUGAGCUGAAACGCAUCUUUAUCCAACCUGCAAACACCUAUUCUGUGCCAGGAACCGUGUUUAGAAACAAAGCAGGAUGUAUAUGCAGGGCCAGGAAAUAUUCCCAGGUGCCUCCCCUUGUUGUAUGGGGUUUUCUGCAAGACUUAUCUUGGCCCAAGGGCCUGCUUUUGGUCAAGGGCUACUUCCCUCUUCCCCAUAUCACAUCACAUUAUCUGCUUUUCCAAGCCUUAGCUGGUCCGAUUCACCUAAAGCAGUAGUACCUAGGGGACAGCCCCAUGAGUCAGCUCCUCCUCUGCAGUUCACACAGAUUCCAGGAGGUCUUUUUAAUCUGUCCGCCAGAAACUGCUGAACACAAAGCACCUGAGUGUAUGAAAAAUAUUAUGUUUGGGUACAUCCGUGCACUUCUGCGCAAGGCACAGAUUUGGAAUACUUUACACUAGGAGAUGUUCUGGUCUAAGAAAUGAUAUGCUACUGCAUCAGUAAUAAAAUACAUCAUCUGUCUGCACUGAAGAGCUCUUAUAAACCUUAAUUAUUAUCAUUAAACACAAGUGUAAGUGCUCUGGAAUUUCAUACCAGGGCGGGGCUCUGUGAAGUGGCACUUCAGUUUCCCCAAAGGGCUGGCUGAGAGCAGGGAGCAGGCCCACAGAGAUUUGGACAUAACCACGACCACUCCUUUGAGUGGAAUUAUUUGGAAUUAUUUUAGUGGCAACUGGUUGGGUGUUGAAACAAUGUAAAUGCUAUGGUUGGAGGCAUUGGUAUUCUCCUGGCUACACUGUCUCAGCUAGAUGACUCGCUGACCCAAGUUACCAUAGUCAUCUUUCCAAAACCAGUGAAGGGAAUUCCCAAAAUUUUCCUAACCUACUGGGCAUCCUUACAGGCACAGAAUAAAACUUUUUGAAACAGAUUCCUCAACUUGCUGUGCAAAUGCUUCACUCAUACAAUGAACCAAAGCUGGGGCAACUUACAUUGCAUAUAGCACCCUUCUGCUUCAAGUUCACAUUUGUGUCAAAUUCAGUGCUAUUAUGGGGCUCCUGCAGUAUACCUAAGUCUGUCCCAGGUGCUGUGGGAGUUUCAGAAAAAUUAUAAGGGAGUCCCAUCGUGGAGGAGCUUAUAAUCUAAGAAUAAAGCAGCUAUCAUCUGAAGCACUAAACUCAUGUCAGACGAAUUUGGGUUCAAAUAAUAUGUAUUUCUCCACUUUCUGGCUGUUUGAACUUGGGCCCCAGAUUUUAUCUUCUGAGUCUACAUUUCAUCUUCUGCAAGUUAAAGAUAACGAUAACUACCCUGAGAGGCAUUUAUGAGAAUUAAGUCAGAUAAUCCUCAUCAGACACUGAGUGCAGAAACUGACCCAUCGUGAGGGCUCAGUAAAUGAGAGCAAUGAUGAUGACAAUGAUGAUGAGACAAUAGUAAGCAAUAGAAUGCAGUAUCUAAUUGGAAACAAAAUUAUAAAAUAUGUACCAUACAUCUGAUAGGAGUUUGGAAAAGGGAGAACCUCUUGGGGUUAAAAUACUAAAAAAGGUUUUAUGAUAAAAAGGGACCAGUGUUGAGCCUGGAAGGAUACAUAGAAUUCCAAUGGGGGAGGUUAAAAGAGUUGACAUUCCAAUUGGGCAAAAUAACUACAGUUGGUGAAAACAUUCAAAGUUGGCAGCAAGACCUGUUGUGAUAUUCCAUUCAAUGGAUCUCAUUUCAAUGUCUUACUUCAUUGUGUGAUUAAUGAAAUCCAAGGAGCUCCACAGGAGAGGCAUCCACUGAAGAGGCAUCCAGGCUUAGUCUCCUAGUGACCACUCCUAAUUGUUUGGAUUCUAUUAUACUUCUAGAGGCAACACCCUCCAAUAUUGCCAGUAGUAUGCUUUAAAAUGGAAGAUUAUGGAUGGAAUUGAAUUUGCUAAUCCACUGACCUUAAAAUAGAGGGAUUAUACUGGAUUACUUAGGUGGGCCCAAUAGCAUCCCAAGUGUUCUUCAGUGUGGAAGAGGGAGACAGAAUAGGGAGAACAAGAGCAAUGACAACCUGAGAAGAGACUCUGGCUGACUUUGAAGGUGGAAGAAAGGGGUCAUGAGCCAUAGGAUGGUCUCUAGAAGCUUGAUAAGGCAAGGAAACUGAUUCUCCCUCACAGCCUCCAGAAAUGACUGACAACAUCUUGAUUUUAGCCCAGUGAGACCCCUGUUGGACAGCUGACCUUCGGAACUGUAAAAUAAUAUGUCUGGGUUGUUUUAAGCCACCAAAUUUUGGUAAUUUGUUUUAGUGAUGGAAAACUCAUACAGCAGCAGAAGCUUUUUGACACAGAUAGUCCAGAUGUUUAUUAUAUGUUUAAAUCUCAGCUUUCAUUUUUAAAUUUCCAAGCGCUGUUUCUCAUACAAAGAAGUUUCUUUGUUUCAAAUCAUACUAGUCUUGUUUAGUGUAUAAAAUAAGAGUCAGAUGGAAAUGGCAUACUACUUUUAAUUUGCUUUGAAGAAAGUAACUCUCAUCUUAGGAUUCAACAUUGAGGGUGGAAAAAAGAGGGAAGGAAGAGGGAAAGAAGAAAAACAAAAGUAAAGACCAGUUGUUUGUAUAAAUGCCC
rnacentral:lncRNA from 1 species